rnacentral:rRNA from 1 species
GAUGAAGUAUUUCGGUAUGUAAAGUUCUUUUAUUGAAGAAGAAAAAGUAGUGGAAAAACUAUAUUGACGUUAUUCAAUGAAUAAGCCCCGGCUAACUAUGUGCCAGCAGCCGCGGUAAGACAUAGGGGGCGAGCGUUAUCCGGAAUUAUUGGGCGUAAAGGGUGCGUAGGCUGUUAGAUAAGUCUAUAAUUUAAUUUCAGUGCUUAACGCUGUCUUGUUAUAGAAACUGUCUUGACUAGAGUGAGAUAGAGGCAAGCGGAAUUCCAUGUGUAGCGGUAAAAUGUGUAAAUAUAUGGAGGAACACCAGAAGCGUAGGCGGCUUGCUGGGUCUUUACUGACGCUGAGGCACGAAAGCGGGGGUAGCAAACAGGAUUAGAUACCCUGGUAGUCCACGCCGUAAACGAUGAGUACUAAGUGUCGGGGUAAAACUCGGUACUGAAGUUAACACAUUAAGUACUCCGCCUGAGUAGUACGUACGCAAGUAUGAAACUUAAAGGAAUUGACGGGACUCCGCACAAGCGGUGGAUCAUGUUGUUUAAUUCGAAGAUACACGAAAAAUUUUACCAGGUCUUGACAUACUCUGCAAAGCUAUAGAAAUAUAGUGGAGGUUAUCAGGGAUACAGGUGGUGCAUGGCUGUCGUCAGUUCGUGUCGUGAGAUGUUAGGUUAAGUCCUAAAACGAACGCAACCCUUGUCGUUAAUUGCCAGCACAUAAUGGUGGGGACUUUAACGAGACUGCCAAUUAAACAUUGGAGGAAGGUGAGGAUUACGUCAAAUCAUCAUGCCCCUUAUGAUCUGGGCUACAAACGUGAUACAAUGGCUGUGACAAAGAGUAGCUGAAACGCGAGUUUUUAGCCAAUCUCAAAAAAGCAGUCUCAGUUCGGAUUGAAGUCUGUAACUCGACUUCAUGAAGUUGGAAUCGCUAGUAAUCGCGAAUCAGCAUGUCGCGGUGAAUACGUUCUCGGGGUUUGUACACACCGCCCGUCAAACCACGAAAGUUAGCAAUGCCCGAAAGCAGUAGCUUAACUUCGCAAGAAGAGGGAACUGUCUAAGGUAGGGUUGAUGAUUGGGGUUAAGUCGUAACAAGGUAUCCCUACCGGAAGGUGGGGAUGGAUCACC